rnacentral:rRNA from 1 species
UACGUAGGGGGCAAGCGUUGUCCGGAAUUACUGGGCGUAAAGAGCGCGCAGGCGGUCAGAUAAGUCGAAUGUGAAAGCCCCCGGCUCAACUGGGGAGGGUCAUUCGAUACUGUUCGACUCGAAGGCAGGAGAGGGAAGUGGAAUUCCCGGUGUAGUGGUGAAAUGCGUAGAUAUCGGGAGGAACACCAGUGGCGAAGGCGACUUCCUGGCCUGUUCUUGACGCUGAGGCGCGAAAGCUAGGGGAGCAAACGGG